rnacentral:rRNA from 1 species
CAGUAGCCGCGGGAAUACGUAGGUGGCAAGCGUUGUCCGGAAUUAUUGGGCGUAAAGGGCUCGCAGGCGGUUUCUUAAGUCUGAUGUGAAAGCCCCCGGCUCAACCGGGGAGGGUCAUUGGAAACUGGGAAACUUGAGUGCAGAAGAGGAGAGUGGAAUUCCGCGUGUAGCGGUGAAAUGCGUAGAGAUGUGGAGGAACACCAGUGGCGAAGGCGGCUCACUGGACCAUAACUGACGCUGAUGCACGAAAGCUAGGGGAGCAAACAGGAUUAGAUACCCCCGUAGUCCCUGUCUCUUAUAC